GGGGAAUAUUGGGCAAUGGACGCAAGUCUGACCCAGCAACGCCGCGUGAAGGAAGAAGGCUUUCGGGUUGUAAACUUCUUUUAAGGGGGAAGAGUAGAAGACGGUACCCCUUGAAUAAGCCACGGCUAACUACGUGCCAGCAGCCGCGGUAAUACGUAGGUGGCAAGCGUUGUCCGGAUUUACUGGGUGUAAAGGGUGCUCAGGCGGGGGGUUAAGUCGGCGGUGAAAUUUUGCAGCUCAACUGUAAAAGUGCCUUCGAAACUGGUUCCCUUGAGUGCGGAUGAGGUAGGCGGAAUUUGUGGUGUAGCGGUGAAAUGCAUAGAUAUCACGAGGAACUCCGAUUGCGCAGGCAGCUUACCAAGCCGUAACUGACGCUCAAGCACGAAGGCGUGGGGAUCAAACA
rnacentral:rRNA from 1 species